rnacentral:rRNA from 1 species
UAGGCCUACGGGGGGCAGCAGUGGGGAAUAUUGCACAAUGGGGGAAACCCUGAUGCAGCGACGCCGCGUGAGUGAAGAAGUAUUUCGGUAUGUAAAGCUCUAUCAGCAGGGAAGAUAAUGACGGUACCUGACUAAGAAGCCCCGGCUAACUACGUGCCAGCAGCCGCGGUAAUACGUAGGGGGCAAGCGUUAUCCGGAUUUACUGGGUGUAAAGGGAGCGCAGGCGGGAAGCCAAGUCAGCUGUGAAAACUACGGGCUUAACUUGUAGACUGCAGUUGAAACUGGUUUUCUUGAGUGAAGUAGAG